rnacentral:rRNA from 1 species
UAGUACUGCGAGUGAAGCGGGAAAAGCUCAAAUUUAAAAUCUGGCGGUCUUCGGCCGUCCGAGUUGUAAUCUGGAGAAGCGUUUUCCGCGCCGGACCGUGUACAAGUCUCUUGGAACAGAGCGUCAUAGAGGGUGAGAAUCCCGUCUUUGACACGGACUACCGGUGCUAUGUGAUGCGCUCUCGAUGAGUCGAGUUGUUUGGGAAUGCAGCUCAAAAUGGGUGGUAAAUUCCAUCUAAAGCUAAAUAUUGGCGAGAGACCGAUAGCGAACAAGUACCGUGAGGGAAAGAUGAAAAGCACUUUGGAAAGAGAGUUAAACAGUACGUGAAAUUGCUGAAAGGGAAACGAUUGAAGUCAGUCGCGUGUGCUAGAACUCAGCCUUGCUUUUGCUUGGUGCAUUUUCUAGUGUACGGGCCAGCAUCAGUUUCGGCUGCCGGAAAAAGGCCUUGGGAAUGUGGCACCUUCGGGUGUGUUAUAGCCCUCGGUUGUAUACGGUGGCUGGGACUGAGGAACUCAGCACGCCUUUAUGGCGGGGCUUCGGCCACCUUCGUGCUUUGGAUGCUGGCGUAAUGGCUUUAAACGACCCGUCU